GUGCUCACUUCGGCAGCACAUAUACUAAAAUUGGAACAAUACAGAGAAGAUCAGCAUGGCCCCUGCGUAAGGAUGACACGCAAAUUCAUGAAGUGUUCCAUAUUUUU
rnacentral:snRNA from 1 species